GUGCUCGCUUUGGCAGCACAUGUACUAAAAUUGGAACGAUACAGAGAAAAUUCGCAUAGCCCCUGCUCAAGGAUGGCAUGCAAAUUUGUGAAGAGUUCCAUAUUUUA